GAUGAACGCUGACAGAAUGCUUAACACAUGCAAGUCGAUGGGGAAGUGGUGCUUGCACCAUGGUAACCAUGGCGGACGGGUGAGUAACGCGUAAGGAACUUGCCUGCGGGACUGGGAUAACAGCAGGAAACUGCUGAUAAUACCGGAUAAGGUCAUUAAGCUGCAUAGCUUAGUGAUGAAAGGAGACGCCUGCGGAGAGCCUUGCGUCCUAUUAGCUAGUUGGAGGGGUAACGGCCCACCAAGGCGAAGAUAGGUAGCCGGCCUGAGAGGGUGGACGGCCACAAGGGGACUGAGAUACGGCCCUUACUCCUACGGGAGGCAGCAGUGGGGAAUAUUGGACAAUGGGGGCAACCCUGAUCCAGCAAUUCUGUGUGCACGAAGACGGUUUUCGGAUUGUAAAGUGCCUUCAGCAGGGAAGAAGUAAGUGACGGUACCUGCAGAAGAAGCGACGGCUAAAUACGUGCCAGCAGCCGCGGUAAUACGUAUGUCGCGAGCGUUAUCCGGAAUUAUUGGGCAUAAAGGGCAUCUAGGCGGCCUUUCAAGUCAGGGGUGAAAACCUGCGGCUCAACCGCAGGCCUGCCUUUGAAACUGAUAGGCUGGAGUACCGGAGAGGUGGACGGAACUGCACGAGUAGAGGUGAAAUUCGUAGAUAUGUGCAGGAAUGCCGAUGAUGAAGAUAGUUCACUGGACGGUAACUGACGCUGAAGUGCGAAAGCCGGGGGAGCGAACAGG
rnacentral:rRNA from 1 species